rnacentral:tRNA from 1 species
GGCCUUGUAGCUCAGUGGGUAGAGCGCCGCAACAAUCAUGCGGAGGAAAGGGUUCAAUUCCGUUCAAGGCCA